AAUUAAUAUGUGACGGAAUUAAAGAAGCAGCAUGACAACACGUGUUUGAUGGAGAAGACGUUAAUGGAGUCUCGGAUUGAAAAUAAACUUUAUUCCCCUUGGAGUUUAUGAGGCCAAUGAGAUUGCUGAUGAGGGACUGCAGCUUCAACAGAUCCAUCCCAUAAUAGGAACCUUCCAGAAGCUCGAGGAUGGUGGCCAGCUAGAACGGAUCAAACGGACCAACUUGAGGAUGAUGACCCUUGACCACGUCACCUUCUUGCCUGGGGUCGACCGCUGACGGAGGAGCGACGCAGGUGCACUUACACUCCGGACCGGACGCGAUGGUCUCCACCGUGUACGAGUCCUGCGGGCCCGCGUUGCCCUCCUCUAUCCGUCGGCAGGCGCUCCUGCUCAGGGGUCUGACAACACAUUUACAGCCACAGUCAGAGCCUUCCGAGACGGCUUUCACUUUGUCAUAAUCACCCAGCAGCUACGAAGACAAAAAGGAUGGUAUGUAUUUCUGCAGGCAUCUGCAUACAAGUUGUGAGGUGUCCGCACGAC